rnacentral:lncRNA from 1 species
UUCAGUGUGUGAUAUGAUCCACGACAGAGAGGUCAUGAGACGACAUCAAUAUAAGGAUAGGACUGCAGUAAAAAACGAUUAUGGCAUUGCCUAAGGCAAUAGAGAUCGAUGACCACAUGUGAGAUUCAUGAGUGUAUUUGGCCACAGUGCCAUAGUUAGAUAAGAUUGUAAAAUUCAUUACAACAAUGAUCAUUGACCAAGUCAUGAUCCUGGACACUCAUGAGACAAGUUAUGAACAUGUAUAAAAGAAGUCUA